UUAGAUAAGCAGUGGUGUAAUGAUAUAUGACAGAGAAGAAAUUUGAAUUAAAGUAAUUUCGGUGAAGUUGAGUUCAUAUAUAAUAGUAAAAAAAUUUAUAAAACAAUUACAAGAAAUUCUGUGCUAAUGAGAAAUUACUGAAGAUGUUCAAAUGACAAUGUUGAUUUCGCUAAUGACUUAUCAAACUCGUCAAACGAAAACUUCUGAUACGAAAUCGAGUCAACGAUAAGACAACACUGAUAGAUACUUCUUCGAUCAUAUGAUGCAAUCGUCAAUGUCACGCGAAGGUAUCUCCCACUUCUAUGCUCACGGCUGCGCAGUGGCGAUUCUCGUGGUGACUACGAGCUGCGUGCAUUCACUUAACAAUUUCUUCGGCUCUGCGCAACGUGUUACUACCACGCGGUGAUCCUUCAUAUUGAUCAAUAUCUGUAUCUGAUAAUUUUAUUUAUGCCGAUUUUUCAAUAUUUGACCACCUGAUCUGUAAAAAAUGUAUAAUUCGAGGUAUCCGAAGCUACUUUUAAAAAAAGAUUAUUUGAAAUCCUGUGCAUCUUUUUUAAUGUAAUUUUAUGAGAAACUAGAUAUUCUGUAAUUCGCAUCAUGAAUUCUCUUAGAAUUGUAACUUGUACGUUUUUACGUUAGCCACUUUGCUACCUUUAGUUUGAUAGGAAUAUAGUAUAUCUGCUUCUGCUAUUAGAUCUACUACGCAAUUGUUACCUGCAACAUAAAUUUUGUAACUUACAGCGCGCGAUUUGAUUUCAAAUUUUCAAAAAAUCUUGAGAUACAACAACUUUUUGUUAAAAACUUCACAUGCUUAUUUAAAGGAAGAACAAAUUAGUUAAUAAUAUAGUUUGCAUUUAGAAAUUCAAUGAAACAACCUUAUGUAACAUGUCGCCUUCGGCCAUAUCGCUUAAACAUACAAAAGUUAUUAACAUAAAAAUUCUACCGCCCACGAAACCAAUAUCAAAACAUCAAAAACCUUAGAAUUUAAUGAAAUCAACCAUACCACCUUCGAGAUAAAUACGCAUGUAGUAGCUGUGUGCUUCCUCCAGUCAAUGUAAUGUAAAUCUCGGAGACCAUAAAAUUCCGUUCAUAUUUAUUGGGACACGUGCUAGUCUCGUAUAUAUCAUGAUAAUUGAUGGAAAUUACAAAGGAAAUAAAUAAUCGAAUGAAAUUAGUGAAAAGAAUUUAAGGUUCCAAUUCUAACACUCUAAGUUUUGGUUUCCAAGAUUUUAAAGCUCCAAUUCUGAAAAGUUUGAUAGCGAAAGUAUUUCAAUUCUCGUUCCUUAAUAGCGUAAUUAGGUCACUUUUCAUGACAUAAGCUUAAACAUAGAGCACACGUAUUUUCAUUUCGUCGCUAAGAUGAUUAUGUUUAAAGAUCAGUGA
rnacentral:misc_RNA from 1 species